rnacentral:rRNA from 1 species
GACGAACGCUGGCGGCGUGCCUAAUACAUGCAAGUAGAACGCAGUUUCGAACGGGUGAGUAACGCGUCUGUAACUGCCUCAUAGCGGGGGAUAACUUUUGGAAACGAUAGCUAAUACCGCAUACUUUGACAUGGACCUGCGUUGUAUUAUCUAGUUGGUGAGGUAAAGGCUCAACAAGGCGACGAUCCAUAGCCGACCUGAGAGGGGGAACGGCCAAACUGGGAAUGAGAGACGGCCCAGAAUUCUACGGGAGGCAGCAGUAGGGAAACAUAGGAAAUGGACCGAAGUCUGAACGAGCACCGCCGGGGGAGAGAAGAAGGUUUUCGGAGCGUAAAGCUAUGUUGUUAGAGAAGCGGUAACUAAACAGAAAGGGACGGCUAACUACGUGCCAGCAGCCGCGGUAAUUC